rnacentral:tRNA from 1 species
GGCUUAUUAGUGUAGUGGUUAGCACGCGGGAUUUUGACUCUGCGCAAAUGGCUUCCCGAGUCGCAGGUUCGAGCCCUGCAUAAGCCU